rnacentral:rRNA from 1 species
GAUGAACGCUGGCGGCGUGCCUAAUACAUGCAAGUCGAACGAAACUUCUUUAUCACCGAGUGCUUGCAUUCACCGAUAAAGAGUUGAGUGGCGAACGGGUGAGUAACACGUGGGCAACCUGCCCAAAAGAGGGGGAUAACACUUGGAAACAGGUGCUAAUACCGCAUAACCAUAGUUACCGCAUGGUAACUAUGUAAAAGGUGGCUAUACUACCGCUUUUGGAUGGGCCCGCGGCGCAUUAGCUAGUUGGUAGGGUAAAGGCUUACCAAGGCAAUGAUGCGUAGCCGAAUUGAGAGGUUGAUCGGCCACAUUGGGACUGAGACACGGCCCAAACUCCUACGGGAGGCAGCAGUAGGGAAUCUUCCACAAUGGGCGAAAGCCUGAUGGAGCAACGCCGCGUGGGUGAAGAAGGUCUUCGGAUCGUAAAACCCUGUUGUUAGAGAAGAAAGUGCGUGAGAGUAACUGUUCACGUUUCGACGGUAUCUAACCAGAAAGCCACGGCUAACUACGUG